UCUUGCCAGAGCCAUUCUCAAUAAAAAUUUGCUGAAGAAAUGCUCGCCACCUGAAUGAAUGAUCAGAAGCUGGAAAAAUCAGUUUUAAAGAGGAGCUUAGGAACAAGCAGGACAAAUGGAAACACUGCCAUCAAUUUAUGAAGACUUUCCAACAAAACUGCCAGAGCCUUCAGGCUUCUCUGAUAGGACAACGACGUGGCCAAGAAGUGGAAAGAUCCCUGGACAUUGGGAUCUAGACACAGAUAUGACACUACAAGCGAACAUCCCACCUCAAAGGAUCUGGAGAACUGGCCAGAGAUCACCCCAGAAGAGAGUACAGGAGCCAGGAUUUGGACGCAGGUCGCUGGAACUCAAAUCCUUUCUCUUUCCCUUACUUCAUCCUCCCCUUCAUCUCCUGAAAAGUGGAAGCUGGAGUCUGGAACACACACAGAAAACCCUCCACCCAUUUUAAGGAUACACCAAGAUCAAAACGCAUUGAUAUUGGAAUCUUACUAGUUUGAACUUUAAAGCAUUUUACUGCCAUAUAGGGAUUGGCUUCAAAGAAAUGUUUUAGUGGUGUUACGUUUAAUGCCUUGUGUUUAUGUAGAAUUACAUAUCCUAUAAAUGUUAGGUUGGCUUAUCUUGUCUCCCCCCUCUCAAAAGGACCUACGCCAAUUUAAUUUUCUAAAUAUAUUUAGGCAAGUGUUGGAGGGUGGGUAGGAAAAUUAGUAGGGACAUGAGUUAAUGGAUUUUACUAGGUUCAAGUGAGUUAAUAUAUGCUGACUGGUAAGGGUAGAAUCUGCUGUGUACUUAGGCAGACAUCCAGGGCAAAGUGGCUGCCAGUUCACCCAGUUAUGAGUCAUACACUUCCAGAAGUGGAAGAGGAGACUUUGAUGUCUUGACCAAAGGAGACAAAAUUACACUACCAAAAUAAAUCCUUGCCUAAGAAGGACUAAAGAAGUAUAUGGGAUGUGGAACUCUACAGAAAGAGAAUGUCCAAAGUCAUGGUGAAGCCACAUACUGACUGUGAAUUCCUGGUGGGGUGAAAGAAUGACUGGGAUGUGAUUUCAGCAGCAACAGUGGGAUGUGGGUGACAGUAAGAACUGAAGAGUAGCUAGAAUCUUUUGAGGUCAGCAGUGCUCUGAGGCUGAGGAUGGGAGUCACAGGUCUGAGAUCAGAUGUGGAAAUCAUUCAAGGUAGUGUAACUGGAUGGAAACAAGGAUAAAGAAAUUAUUUUAAUAUUGGGAAUGACAAGGGUAAGGGAUGCCCUAAAAAGCAGCUGACUAGUCUAUAAAUUAAAGGUGUGGUAGGGAAUGAAAUAUAUGAAAAUUUACAUUUGUAAGUACCCUGAGAGUACAAUUAUCAGCAAAUAGGAUAAAACUUGCAAAAUAGUCACAUCAUUAUCUUCAAGUCAGGAAUCUACGGAUGAGAUUCCUGUUGGAAGCAUUAGGGGAAAAUUGGCAGGGUCUAUUUUAUUAACAUCAGCUAUACACGUACCGAGCACCGCUUUUUUUUUUAAUCUAAAUUUUUUAUAUUUUUU